GGGUGCCCAAGCUAUACUCACCCCUGAGGCUGUUGGUCUCUGGCCAACUUUAACAAUGAUUCAGGUCUCACUGGACGCACAAGGUAUACGUCCUUUCAGAAAGAAUGCAGAGCAAUGGAAGAGUGGGUGGAUUCUUUAACAAAGAAAUUGCAAAAUUCCAGCAAAAUACAACAUUUUGGAAGGAAAAUCCCUUAGAGGCUCCCCUUUGGUGGCAUAGCAUCAUGGAAAUGAACCAAAGAAGAAAUGAAACAUUUAAAGAACAUCCUAAGUUUUAAAUUAGACCCAAAUGCCGCGACCUCAUCAAAUAAACACCCAAUCCACCAAAUUCUAGCCCCACCAGGAGGAGUUAAGGAAGGAACACUCUCUCAAAAUGGCACCCGGGGCCAGCCCUGUGAUGGGCGGACUCGGAUCACGUGACCCCAACUGCGUCUUCAAGACUGAUCUCUUGUGAGGCUCUUAAAGCGGCGCUCCCCAACCUUUCUAGCACCAGGGACUGGUUUGGAGGAAGGCAAAUUUUCCAGAUGGUGGGGGAUGGGGGUGGGGGUGGUUUCAGGAUGAUUCAAGGGCAUUUCAUUUAUUGUGCACUUUAUUUCUAUUAUUAUUACGUUGUAAUAUAUAAGGAAGUAAUUAUACCCCUCACCAUAAUGUAGAAUCAGUAGGAGCCCUGACCUUGUUUUCCUGCAAUGCGACGGCGGCGACAGAUCAUCAGGCAUCAGGUUCUCAUAAGGAGCGCACAGCCUAGAUCCCUUGCAUGCGCGGUUCACAGCAGAGUUCGUGCUCCUGUGAGAAUCUAACGCCGGCACUAAUCUGACCUGAGUGGCGCUCUGGUGGUCACGUGAGCAACGGGGAAGCGGCCGUAAGAACAGAUGAAGCUUCCCUAGCUCACCAGCCGCUCGUCUCCUGCUGUGUGGCCUGGUUCCUAACAGGCCAUGGACUGGUACCAGUCUGUGGCCCAGGGGCUGGGGACCCUUGCCCUAAAGGCUCCCGGGGCCGGCUGGGCCUGCUUGUGGAGAUCAAUACUGGCCAACACAUGAUGGGACAUUUUUCUUGACCCUCUCCAAUGUGAAUUACUUCCUUUUAUAUGGAAGAUUGUGAGCCCUUUGAAGAACUGAUGGAAGCUAUUGGACAGUAGAAGACACAGAGUGUACAUGCAGAAUAACUGUUGAUUGUGCUGGGAGUGCAACAUCUUGAGAUAAGAAGGAACUGCCUGGAACAGUCCAGGGUCUCUCCCUGUCCCUCCUAGAACAAGAUGUCCUGCAACACUUGUGCUCAGUGAGUCAACUUCCCCUAGGUAUAAAACCUAGAGUGGAGCAUCUUUUGGCGUCCCUCGGCUGUGGUGCUGCCUAGGGCAUGUGCAGAUGGACUCUACCCACCCUGGCCAGCUUGCCUGAGCCUUGUCGGGGAGCAGGUACCCUAGGCUCCUGCUGUCCCCUGAUGCCGAUCCGUGAAUAAUAAAGUUGCUUUUCUU